GAUUAAGUUAUUAAGGGCGCACGGUGGAUGCCUUGGCACUAGAAGCCGAUGAAGGACGUUACUAACGACGAUAUGCUUUGGGGAGCUGUAAGUAAGCUUUGAUCCAGAGAUUUCCGAAUGGGGAAACCCAGCAUGAGUUAUGUCAUGUUAUCGAUAUGUGAAUACAUAGCAUAUCAGAAGGCACACCCGGAGAACUGAAACAUCUUAGUACCCGGAGGAAGAGAAAGAAAAUUCGAUUCCCUUAGUAGCGGCGAGCGAAACGGGAAGAGCCCAAACCAACAAGCUUGCUUGUUGGGGUUGUAGGACACUCUAUACGGAGUUACAAAGGACGACAUUAGACGAAUCAUCUGGAAAGAUGAAUCAAAGAAGGUAAUAAUCCUGUAGUCGAAAAUGUUGUCUCUCUUGAGUGGAUCCUGAGUACGACGGAGCACGUGAAAUUCCGUCGGAAUCUGGGAGGACCAUCUCCUAAGGCUAAAUACUCUCUAGUGACCGAUAGUGAACCAGUACCGUGAGGGAAAGGUGAAAAGCACCCCGGAAGGGGAGUGAAAUAGAACCUGAAACCGUGUGCUUACAAGUAGUCAGAGCCCGUUAAUGGGUGAUGGCGUGCCUUUUGUAGAAUGAACCGGCGAGUUACGAUUUGAUGCAAGGUUAAGCAGUAAAUGUGGAGCCGUAGCGAAAGCGAGUCUGAAUAGGGCGUUUAGUAUUUGGUCGUAGACCCGAAACCAGGUGAUCUACCCUUGGUCAGGUUGAAGUUCAGGUAACACUGAAUGGAGGACCGAACCGACUUACGUUGAAAAGUGAGCGGAUGAACUGAGGGUAGCGGAGAAAUUCCAAUCGAACCUGGAGAUAGCUGGUUCUCUCCGAAAUAGCUUUAGGGCUAGCCUCAAGUGAUGAUUAUUGGAGGUAGAGCACUGUUUGGACGAGGGGCCCCUCUCGGGUUACCGAAUUCAGACAAACUCCGAAUGCCAAUUAAUUUAACUUGGGAGUCAGAACAUGGGUGAUAAGGUCCGUGUUCGAAAGGGAAACAGCCCAGACCACCAGCUAAGGUCCCAAAAUAUAUGUUAAGUGGAAAAGGAUGUGGCGUUGCCCAGACAACUAGGAUGUUGGCUUAGAAGCAGCCAUCAUUUAAAGAGUGCGUAAUAGCUCACUAGUCGAGUGACACUGCGCCGAAAAUGUACCGGGGCUAAACAUAUUACCGAAGCUGUGGAUUGUCCUUUGGACAAUGGUAGGAGAGCGUUCUAAGGGCGUUGAAGCAUGAUCGUAAGGACAUGUGGAGCGCUUAGAAGUGAGAAUGCCGGUGUGAGUAGCGAAAGACGGGUGAGAAUCCCGUCCACCGAUUGACUAAGGUUUCCAGAGGAAGGCUCGUCCGCUCUGGGUUAGUCGGGUCCUAAGCUGAGGCCGACAGGCGUAGGCGAUGGAUAACAGGUUGAUAUUCCUGUACCACCUAUAAUCGUUUUAAUCGAUGGGGGGACGCAGUAGGAUAGGCGAAGCGUGCGAUUGGAUUGCACGUCUAAGCAGUAAGGCUGAGUAUUAGGCAAAUCCGGUACUCGUUAAGGCUGAGCUGUGAUGGGGAGAAGACAUUGAGUCUUCGAGUCGUUGAUUUCACACUGCCGAGAAAAGCCUCUAGAUAGAAAAUAGGUGCCCGUACCGCAAACCGACACAGGUAGUCAAGAUGAGAAUUCUAAGGUGAGCGAGCGAACUCUCGUUAAGGAACUCGGCAAAAUGACCCCGUA
rnacentral:rRNA from 1 species